GUGAGGAAUAUUGGUCAAUGGGCGAGAGCCUGAACCAGCCAAAUCGCGUGAAGGAUGAAGGUAUUAUGUAUUGUAAACUUCUUUUAUCGGGGAAUAAAGUGCGGGACGUGUCCCGUUUUGUAUGUACCCGAAGAAUAAGGAUCGGCUAACUCCGUGCCAGCAGCCGCGGUAAUACGGAGGAUCCAAGCGUUAUCCGGAUUUAUUGGGUUUAAAGGGUGCGUAGGCGGACUGUCAAGUCAGCGGUGAAAGUCCAUGGCUCAACCAUGGAAUUGCCGUUGAAACUGUCGGUCUUGAGUGUAGAUGAGGUAGGCGGAAUUCGUAGUGUAGCGGUGAAAUGCUUAGAUAUUACGAAGAACUCCAAUUGCGUAGGCAGCUUACCAGGCUACAACUGACGCUGAGGCACGAAGGUGCGGGGAUCAAACAGGAUUAGAAACCCCAGUAGUCC
rnacentral:rRNA from 1 species